AUGCAGGUUAGCUGCGGCAGAAGCUGUAUUGCUGUCCGAGCUGGAUGAGCAUAAAGUGAAUAAGAAUAUAACACUCCAAACUACCAAGACUGACGGAGAGUCGUCUUGUGGUUGCUGUGUGUGACUUUUGAGAAGCUGCCAGAGGACUGGACAUUUGCCCAUGAGAGGGAGAGAGAGAAAGAGGACUGGGAGGGACCUGGACCGCUGGAGAGAGACUUAUAGCUGCCGUACUGAGCUCCGUUCCGGCACUGUGUGGCUGCACGGCCCCAUUCCCCUUGCCGCCGAAACUGCAUUGCCCUUUGCCCUUUUCCCUUGCUCAUCUGCAUUACUGACUGUCCGCUGGAUUUUAUUCCCCAGGUCUGACUUCUGCCUCCGUGUCCACUCCUGCUCUGCCCAGAAGCCGCUAUGGAUCAGCUAAGCUCUCCUGUGUGCCUGGUUCCCCUUUGCCAGUCCCCCCUGCCCUGCCCAGCUCAGUUCCCCUGGUCCAUCCCUUGCCUCAGACUCUGGCUAUCCAAACUUGACUGUUAUCAGUCUGUCAAUAAAUUACCCUUUA